UGUGUAGGCGGCCGCAUAAGUCGGAUGUGAAAGCCCUGGGCUCAACCCAGGAAGUGCACUCGAUACUGCGCGGCUUGAGUACCGGAGAGGUUGGUAGAAUUCUCGGUGUAGAGGUGAAAUUCGUAGAUAUCGAGAGGAAUACCUGUGGCGAAGGCGGCCAACUGGACGAGUACUGACGCUGAGACACGAAAGCGUGGGGAGCAAACAGGAUUAGAUACCCUGGUAGUCCACGCCGUAAACGAUGGGUGCUAGGUGUCGCAGGCUUUGACUCCUGCGGUGCCGUAGCUAACGCAUUAAGCACCCCGCCUGGGAAGUACGGCCGCAAGGCUAAA
rnacentral:rRNA from 1 species